rnacentral:rRNA from 1 species
UACGAAGGGGGCUAGCGUUGCUCGGAAUCACUGGGCGUAAAGGGUGCGUAGGCGGGCCUUUAAGUCAGGGGUGAAAUCCUGGAGCUCAACUCCAGAACUGCCUUUGAUACUGAGGAUCUUGAGUUCGGGAGAGGUGAGUGGAACUGCGAGUGUAGAGGUGAAAUUCGUAGAUAUUCGCAAGAACACCAGUGGCGAAGGCGGCUCACUGGCCCGAUACUGACGCUGAGGCACAAAAGCGUGGGGAGCAAACAGG